UGUUAUAGCUCAGGUGGUAGAGCGUCGCCUUGGUAAGGCGGAGGUCACGGGUUCGAGUCCCGUUAAC
rnacentral:tRNA from 1 species